rnacentral:snRNA from 1 species
GGUCUCCUCCGGGAUGUACCACUCAAAAAAUUAGGAACGAUACAGAGAAGAUUAGCAUGGCCCCUGCGCAAGGAUGACACGCAUUAAUCGAGUUGGUUCAACCCUUUUU